UAGAGUUUGAUCAUGGCUCAGAAUGAACGCUGGCGGCAUGCCUAACACAUGCAAGUCGAACGAAGGCUUCGGCCUUAGUGGCGCACGGGUGCGUAACGCGUGGGAAUCUGCCCUCAGGUUCGGAAUAACAGCGAGAAAUUGCUGCUAAUACCGGAUGAUAUCGCGAGAUCAAAGAUUUAUCGCCUGAGGAUGAGCCCGCGUAGGAUUAGCUAGUUGGUGUGGUAAAGGCGCACCAAGGCGACGAUCCUUAGCUGGUCUGAGAGGAUGAUCAGCCACACUGGGACUGAGACACGGCCCAGACUCCUACGGGAGGCAGCAGUGGGGAAUAUUGGACAAUGGGCGAAAGCCUGAUCCAGCAAUGCCGCGUGAGUGAUGAAGGCCUUAGGGUUGUAAAGCUCUUUUACCCGGGAUGAUAAUGACAGUACCGGGAGAAUAAGCUCCGGCUAACUCCGUGCCAGCAGCCGCGGUAAU
rnacentral:rRNA from 1 species